rnacentral:rRNA from 2 species
GUGGGUAGUUUGACUGGGGCGGUCUCCUCCUAAAGAGUAACGGAGGAGCACGAAGGUUGGCUAAUCCUGGUCGGACAUCAGGAGGUUAGUGCAAUGGCAUAAGCCAGCUUGACUGCGAGCGUGACGGCGCGAGCAGGUGCGAAAGCAGGUCAUAGUGAUCCGGUGGUUCUGAAUGGAAGGGCCAUCGCUCAACGGAUAAAAGGUACUCCGGGGAUAACAGGCUGAUACCGCCCAAGAGUUCAUAUCGACGGCGGUGUUUGGCACCUCGAUGUCGGCUCAUCACAUCCUGGGGCUGAAGUAGGUCCCAAGGGUAUGGCUGUUCGCCAUUUAAAGUGGUACGCGAGCUGGGUUUAGAACGUCGUGAGACAGUUCGGUCCCUAUCUGCCGUGGGCGCUGGAGAACUGAGGGGGGCUGCUCCUAGUACGAGAGGACCGGAGUGGACGCAUCACUGGUGUUCGGGUUGUCAUGCCAAUGGCACUGCCCGGUAGCUAAAUGCGGAAGAGAUAAGUGCUGAAAGCAUCUAAGCACGAAACUUGCCCCGAGAUGAGUUCUCCCUGAGACUUAGAGUCUCCUGAAGGAACGUUGAAGACGACGACGUUGAUAGGCCGGGUGUGUAAGCGCAGCGAUGCGUUGAGCUAACCGGUACUAA